rnacentral:rRNA from 1 species
UACGGGGGGGGCAAGCGUUGUUCGGAAUUACUGGGCGUAAAGGGCGCGUAGGCGGCCUGCUAAGUCGAACGUGAAAUCCCUGGGCUCAACCCAGGAACUGCGUCCGAUACUGGUUGGCUUGAAUCCGGGAGAGGGAUGUGGAAUUCCAGGUGUAGCGGUGAAAUGCGUAGAUAUUCGGAGGAACACCAGUGGCGAAGGCGGCUCGCUGGCUCGAUACUGACGCUGAGGUGCGAAAGCGUGGGGAGCAAACAGG